AAGAAGCACCGGCUAACUACGUGCCAGCAGCCGCGGUAAUACGUAGGGGGCGAGCGUUAAUCGGAAUUACUGGGCGUAAAGCGUGCGCAGGCGGCUUUUUAAGCCAGAUGUGAAAUCCCCGGGCUUAACCUGGGAACUGCAUUUGGAACUGGAAGGCUAGAGUGUAGCAGAGGGGGGUAGAAUUCCACGUGUAGCAGUGAAAUGCGUAGAUAUGUGGAGGAAUACCGAUGGCGAAGGCAGCCCCCUGGGCUAACACUGACGCUCAUGCACGAAAGCGUGGGGAGCAA
rnacentral:rRNA from 1 species